rnacentral:rRNA from 1 species
AGUGAACGCUGGCGGUAGGCCUAACGCAUGCAAGUCGAACGGCAGCACAGUAAGAGCUUGCUCUUACGGGUGGCGAGUGGCGGACGGGUGAGGAAUACAUCGGAAUCUACUUUUUCGUGGGGGAUAACGUAGGGAAACUUACGCUAAUACCGCAUACGACCUACGGGUGAAAGCAGGGGAUCUUCGGACCUUGCGCGAUUGAAUGAGCCGAUGUCGGAUUAGCUGGUUGGCGGGGAAAGGCCCACCAAGGCGACGAUCCGUAGCUGGUCUGAGAGGAUGAUCAGCCACACUGGAACUGAGACACGGUCCAGACUCCUACGGGAGGCAGCAGUGGGGAAUAUUGGACAAUGGGCGCAAGCCUGAUCCAGCCAUACCGCGUGGGUGAAGAAGGCCUUCGGGUUGUAAAGCCCUUUUGUUGGGAAAGAAAAGCAGCAGGUUAAUACCCCGCUGUUCUGACGGUACCCAAAGAAUAAGCACCGGCUAACUUCGUG